rnacentral:rRNA from 1 species
UACGUAGGGUGCGAGCGUUAAUCGGAAUCACUGGGCGUAAAGGGUGCGUAGGCGGGGCUUUAAGUCAGGGGUGAAAUCCUGGAGCUCAACUCCAGAACUGCCUUUGAUACUGAAGAUCUUGAGUUCGGGAGAGGUGAGUGGAACUGCGAGUGUAGAGGUGAAAUUCGUAGAUAUUCGCAAGAACACCAGUGGCGAAGGCGGCUCACUGGCCCGAUGCUGACGCUGAGGCACGAAAGCGUGGGGAGCAAACAGG